rnacentral:rRNA from 1 species
GACGAACGCUGGCGGCGUGCCUAAUACAUGCAAGUAGAACGCACAGUUUAUACCGUAGCUUGCUACACCAUAGACUGUGAGUUGCGAACGGGUGAGUAACGCGUAGGUAACCUGCCUGGUAGCGGGGGAUAACUAUUGGAAACGAUAGCUAAUACCGCAUAAUAUUUAUUAUUGCAUGAUAAUUAAUUGAAAGGUGCAAUUGCACCACUACCAGAUGGACCUGCGUUGUAUUAGCUAGUAGGUGAGGUAACGGCUCACCUAGGCGACGAUACAUAGCCGACCUGAGAGGGUGAUCGGCCACACUGGGACUGAGACACGGCCCAGACUCCUACGGGAGGCAGCAGUAGGGAAUCUUCGGCAAUGGACGAAAGUCUGACCGAGCAACGCCGCGUGAGGGAAGAAGGUUUUCGGAUCGUAAAGCUCUGUUGUAAGAGAAGAACGGGUGUGAGAGUGGAAAGUUCACACUGUGACGGUAUCUUACCAGAAAGGGACGGCUAACUACGUG